AUGGCAGCGUACUACCACGGCGGCGCCGGCACGGACAUCCAUCAGGCCGGCAGCGACGGCCUGCAAACACUGUACCUCAUGAACCCAAGCUACGGCAACGGCAGCUACGGGGACGCCGGGCCCUCCGGGGCCAACAUGAUGCUCCUCAACUCGGCGGUGAGCUCCAUGACCCCGGCGUCCUUCGGCGGCCACCAGGCGUCGCCACCGCCGGGGCAGCACUUCGUCGGCAUCCCUCUCCAGGCGCCCCCCUCGGGCUACAACCUGUGGACCCCUGCCACAACCGGCAUCGCCGACGUCAUGUCGCCGCCGACGCAGCAGGCUCAUGGCGUGAGUGCCGUGCUCAGCCUGUCGUCCCGCGAGACGCCGCCGGUCACGGUGGCGUCCAUCGCCGGCGACGAAGGGAGGUACCACCUUGGGGCGACGACCGCGGCGUCGCAGGGGCAGGUGGUGAUGAACUCCAAAUACCUCAGGGCGGCGCAGGAGCUGCUCGACGAGGUGGUGAGCGUGAGCAAGGGCGUGGACGACGUGGACGCCAAGGCGAAGAGCGCUGUGUCGGUCAAGAAGAAGGAGGAUUCGGAAGGCCUUUCCGGCGGCGGCGGGGAGGAAGGCGCCAGCGGGGCCAAGGGUGGCGCGCCAGCGCCCGAGAUGUCGACGGCGGAGCGGCAGGAGCUGCAGAUGAAGAAAGGCAAACUGGUUAACAUGCUUGACGAGGUGGAGCAGCGGUACCGGCAGUACCACCAGCAGAUGGCGUCGGUGUCGUCGUCGUUCGAGGCGGUGGCCGGCGCCGGGUCGGCGCGGACGUACACGGCGCUGGCGCUGCGCACCAUCUCGCGGCAGUUCCGCUGCCUCCGCGACGCCAUCGCCUCCCAGGUGCGCGCCGCCAGCCGCGCCCUGGGCGAGGACUGCGACGCCGAGGGGCUCGGCGGCGGACUCGGCGGAGGGCGCGGCGUCGGUUCGCGGCUCCGGUACAUCGACCACCAGCUCCGGCAGCAGCGCGCGCUGCAGCAGUUGGGCAUGAUGCAGAGCAGCGCGUGGCGCCCGCAGCGGGGCCUCCCCGAGCGCUCCGUCUCCAUCCUCCGUGCAUGGCUCUUCGAGCACUUCCUCCACCCAUACCCCAAGGAUUCGGACAAGAUCAUGCUCGCCAAGCAGACCGGCCUCACCAGGAGCCAGGUGUCGAACUGGUUCAUCAACGCGAGGGUGAGGCUGUGGAAGCCGAUGGUGGAGGAGAUGUACCUGGAGGAGACCAAGGAGCAUCAGCAGCAGCAGGACGGCGGCGACGACAAGGGGAGGCCGACCGGGUCCGGCCCCGCCGGAGGAAAGAGCAGCAGCAACGCGGACGGCGUGGACGACGGCACUCCGAGGUCCAUGGCCAGAGCGGCGGUGGGGGCCGGGACGUCGGAGGGCGGCGGCGCCGUCCAGGCGUCCUUGCUCGAGCUCGCCGGAGACCACCAGGCGCACGCGGGGUUCUACGACGAGGAGGGUGAGGAUGGCGGGUUGCGGCGCGGCUUCAAGAAGGCGAGGGCGGCCGACCUCGAGCAGCAACCGCCAGCGGCGUUCGACUUCGGCGCGUUGCACCACGCGCAGGCAGCCGCGGCGGCCGCGGCCGCCGCAGCGAGGCAGCAGCACGACGAGGUGACCCACCGGGAGCUGCUCAUGAAGUUCAUGGAGAGCGGCGGCGCGGCGGGCGCGAGGGACCACCACCACCACCAACAGGACGAGGACGGGGCCGGCGGCGGGUACUCUCUGUUCGCGCCGGGGCCGUACGGGCAGUUCGGCACCGACCAGUCGUUCGCGUUCGCCGGGGCCGGGCAGCACGGCGGCGUCUCGCUCACGCUCGGCCUCCCCCACGGCGCCGGCGACCAGACGGCGUUCCUCAUGGGAGGCGGCAGCAGCAACGGCGCCGACAGCGGUGGCAGCGGCGCCGCCGGCUACGACAUGAACAUGCAGACCACCAAGUCCUUCGCGGCUCAGCUCAUGAGAGACUUCGUGGCAUAG
rnacentral:rRNA from 1 species